GGAGGGGGAUGGGGCCUGGUGGCUCUCCCGGUCUUCAAAACCGGCCGCGGGGCCUGGACGGUCCUGGCUAGGUUCGAUUCCUAGACCCCUCCGCCA
rnacentral:tRNA from 1 species